rnacentral:rRNA from 1 species
CACGUAGGGUGCGAGCGUUGUCCGGAAUUAUUGGGCGUAAAGAGCUCGUAGGCGGUGUGUCGCGUCGGCCGUGAAAACCUGUAGCUUAACUGUGGGCUUGCGGUCGAUACGGGCAUCACUGGAGUUCGGCAGGGGAGACUGGAAUUCCUGGUGUAGCGGUGAAAUGCGCAGAUAUCAGGAGGAACACCGGUGGCGAAGGCGGAUCUCUGAACCAGUUCUGACACUGAUGAGCGAAAGCCAGGGGAGCAAACAGG